GGCCUGCUAGCUCAGGAGGUAGAGCACUUGAUUUUUAAUCAAGGGGUCGCGGGUUCGAGUCCCGCGCGGGUCA
rnacentral:tRNA from 1 species